rnacentral:rRNA from 1 species
GACAGAGGGGGCAAGCGUUGCUCGGAAUUACUGGGCGUAAAGGGCGCGUAGGCGGGAUGGCAAGUCGGUCGUGAAAUCCCUCGGCUCAACCGAGGAACGUCGAUCGAUACUGCUGUUCUUGAGGAUUGCAGAGGAGACUGGAAUUCCCGGUGUAGCGGUGAAAUGCGCAGAUAUCAGGAGGAACACCGGUGGCGAAGGCGGUUCUCUGGGCAUUACCUGACGCUGAGGAGCGAAAGUGUGGGGAGCGAACAGG